rnacentral:rRNA from 1 species
GGACGGGUGAGUAAUGUAUGGGGAUCUGCCCGAUAGAGGGGGAUAACUACUGGAAACGGUGGCUAAUACCGCAUAAUGUCUACGGACCAAAGCAGGGGCUCUUCGGACCUUGCACUAUCGGAUGAACCCAUAUGGGAUUAGCUAGUAGGUGGGGUAAAGGCUCACCUAGGCGACGAUCUCUAGCUGGUCUGAGAGGAUGAUCAGCCACACUGGGACUGAGACACGGCCCAGACUCCUACGGGAGGCAGCAGUGGGGAAUAUUGCACAAUGGGCGCAAGCCUGAUGCAGCCAUGCCGCGUGUAUGAAGAAGGCCUUAGGGUUGUAAAGUACUUUCAGCGGGGAGGAAGGUGAUAAGGUUAAUACCCUUAUCAAUUGACGUUACCCGCAGAAGAAGCACCGGCUAACUCCGUGCCAGCAGCCGCGGUAAUACGGAGGGU